UACGUAGGGUGCGAGCGUUAAUCGGAAUUACUGGGCGUAAAGCGUGCGCAGGCGGUUUUGUAAGCCAGAUGCGAAAUCCCCGGGCUUAACCUGGGAAUGGCAUUUGGGACUGCAAGGCUGGAGUUUGGCAGAGGAGACUGGAAUUCCUGGUGUAGCAGUGAAAUGCGUAGAUAUCAGGAGGAAUACCGAUGGCGAAGGCAGGUCUCUGGGCUAUAACUGACGCUCAUGCACGAAAGCGUGGGGAGCAAACAGG
rnacentral:rRNA from 1 species